CAGCAGCCACGGGAACACGUAGGGUGCAAGCGUUAAUCGGAAUUACUGGGCGUAAAGCGUGCGCAGGCGGUUUUGUAAGACAGAGGUGAAAUCCCCGGGCUCAACCUGGGAACUGCCUUUGUGACUGCAAGGCUAGAGUACGGCAGAGGGGGAUGGAAUUCCGCGUGUAGCAGUGAAAUGCGUAGAUAUGCGGAGGAACACCGAUGGCGAAGGCAAUCCCCUGGGCCUGUACUGACGCUCAUGCACGAAAGCGUGGGGAGCAAACAGGAUUAGAUACCCCUGUAGUCCCUGUCUCUUAUAC
rnacentral:rRNA from 1 species